UCUGGACUUGCUCACAGAUGGGCUUCUCCAUUACGGUCGAAGGAAAUCAACUGACAUGGAGAUGCAACUCCUACAAAGACUGGACAGAGCAGAAAAAAUUACAGUUCUUGCCGAAGAGGACAUCUCAUCUGUCAUCAAAGAGGCACCAGUGUUGAUUUCUGAGAGAGAUAUUGAGAGAUGGAAGAAAGGGAAGAUGGACAUAGCCCAACACACAGUAAAACCAACAAGUACCG